rnacentral:snRNA from 1 species
CGGGCGAAGACGGGCAAGCAACAGCGGGCUCUGGACGGAAAUGACGAGGUACAGCACUGGGCACUGAACGGCAUGAGUGACAAUGCUU